rnacentral:rRNA from 1 species
GACGAACGCUGGCGGCGUGCUUAACACAUGCAAGUCGAACGGAAAGGCCCUGCUUUUGUGGGGUGCUCGAGUGGCGAACGGGUGAGUAACACGUGAGUAACCUGCCCUUGACUUUGGGAUAACUUCAGGAAACUGGGGCUAAUACCGGAUAGGAGCUCCUGUUGCAUGGAGGGGGUGGGAAAGUUUCGGCGGUUGGGGAUGGAUGCGCGGCUUAUCAGCUUGUUGGUGGGGUAGUGGCUUACCAAGGCUUGGACGGGUAGGCGGCCUGAGAGGGUGAACGGCCUCCAUGGGCCUGCGAGACGGCCCAGACUCCUACGGGAGGCAGCAGUGGGGAAUAUUGCACAAUGGGAGGAAGCCUGAUGCAGCAACGCCGCGUUCGGGAAGACGGCCUUCUGGUUGUGAACAGCUUUCGCCUGAGACGAAGCGUGAGUGACGGUAAUGGGUAAAGAAGCACCGGCUAACUACGUG